CCCGAGCAACCGAAGUGAAGGAGGAAAGUUUUUAAUAAUUGAUAACGAAAAUGCCGUUUGAACGAGUCGCCGGCAGCUACUUUGCCACUGCGCAUUGUUGAGUGGCUGCAAGGGGAGUGCUGAAUCUGUUCGCUUGAGUGUCGUGAUUCUACCAAGUCUACUCCAACUCGUCACAUCAACAACCCUGACAACUUCGCCAUAAGGGUUCUUCAAAGACUAUCGAACCAUUCUGGAGCUGGAUCGUGUCGUCUGGAUCAUGUUCCAAAAGAGAUGACAACACUUCGGGACUGCUUCAGGCUCCUUCUCCUCCAACGGCUUUGCUUGGGCUGCUUUCACAGUGACAUUUUCCCCGCAUAAUGUGUUUCCGUGUAGUCCAUAUUCAAACAAAGCCUGUAGCUUUUAUGUUUGAAUGUAAGUGUUAGUGGCUUUUGAUUACAGUGAUCACCACUAUUUACUUGAGAUAUCAUGGGGUAAAGUAUAAAAUUUAUUGGAUUAUAUCAGUGUACCGAAGGGUAUCAUAUUAGUCUGAUGCUCAGUAUUUCUUGUUGAAUGUGGCCAGAGAUAAUUGUAAAGAUUAUUAUUUCUUAACGUUGGCUGGGUGAGUGCCGUCACAUUGUCAAAUUUUUUGUCUUUCUGUCUUAUCUUGCUGCCCAGGACCUCCUGUCUCUGUUGAACUUGGGGCAGAUAAAGAUUUAGUAAUAAUCUCUUUUGUUUUAAUUAUUCAAGGGGAGUUGACAAUUUUUCCUGGCAAAGACACUCAAUUUCAGAUAAAAUUGUUUAUGCUGAACAAUGGUUCAAUUAUUUAGCAACUGUAGUCCUUGUUUAGUUGGAAGCUUCUUGGUAUUUAUGGGAAACUUGAAUUUCAAACUGGUAAUGCAACCGUUUUUAAGAAUUUUUAGUGAAAGUUUGCACUCAGAGUUUGAGCAACAGUAGUAACUUAACAAGAAUAGAGGCAUGGGUUUAUUUGGUUUGUUUCCAAGAGGGCUACAUUCUGACUCAUGAUUAUUUUGAAAUGUUUGUAAGAUAGCAUUUUUAGAACAGAUUUUGUCAGUUACUUAUGGGAUUAGAAGGGGAGCAGGAAGUGUGGGUGGGGAAUGCAAGUAAAAUGUAUACUAGUGUCCUAUUUUCUGCCCAUCACCCUGCAUUAUGUUUGUUCCUUUUUUCCCCUGUCAAAGCAACCUUUAGAAUGUUUGGUUUAGUUUGUUCGUUCAAUAUGUAUUUGUAUCUGACUUUUGGGUAUAUUUAGUAUUUGAUGUGAAUGUUAAAUUAUGGUGACAAUUCAUCUUAUUUCAGUCCUUAUGUAUUACUCCUGUAAUAUUUCUGGCUUCAAGCAAGAAUUAUUGAACUGAAUUGAAACUUAACUAGUGGGGUAGUGAGAUCCAAUCCCUCAGCAAAAUGACUUAUGUUUCCAUUUUCUCUGUGCCUUUCUUUGCUAUGCCUCUGUACUGAAGCAUUGUAUGUAUUGCUCCCUGCCUUGUUAAAGUAUAAUUUUUAUUUUGUUUUUGUCAUACACAUUGCAACACACCCUUGAUGGAGUACAUGAAGUGUCAGCAUGUAUAAAGUAAUGUGUCAAUUCCACUGCUGAGCAAGUGAGCAUAUUGAUUCUCCGGUGUACACUGCUUUGUGUCACCAGUAUUUGAGGCGUCGUAACUUGAUCUGUAUGUAGGGGUGGUGACAAAUUUUUGUAUUUGUAUUUAUUGCGGUAAAAAUUUACAUGAUUUACAUAAGUUUUUACGCAAGUCAAGAACAAAGUGCAAAGCACAGCACCACGAUUGGAAGAUAGAAAAUAUAAAGUCGCCUCAGCAGUUUCAGAUAAAGUAUUCAAAGGUCAUCCAGACUAUACGGCUCUUUUUGUAUGAGGAACUUUUUGAGAACAUUUUUAAAGAUUUUGGGUUUGUCUCUCAUAUCCUUAAUUUCUUUAGGGAGUCUAUUAAAAAAUUGAGAUCCCAUGCAUAAUGGGUUAUUUGUAUCAACUUUUGUUCUAUAGAACUGAACAUGUAUGUCUGCGUUGUUUCUGGUACUACAACUGUGCAUUUCUUUUCUUAUGGGUAAAUCUUCUAAAUUCUUAAUGCCAAGCAAGCAGUGGGGUGGUGGAAACACAGUCAUUCCUUCAGAUGUAAUGACACAUUUCCUAUUUUCCCUUUGACAUGCUCCUGCACUGAGCUAUUGUGUGCAUUGCAAUGUUCCCCACCAUUUUAUAAUAUUAUUAAUUUUUAAGUUCCUUCAUUGUAUUUUCCUGUUCAAUUUUUUGUUCUUGUUUCAAUAGAGUACUUGAGGUGUCAGCCCAAAUAAAGAAAUAUCUCAAUUUCGCUGCUGUAGUUGUGAGCAUUUAAGCCCUACUUUGUCACAUUGGAAGCAAUGUUAGUUCGGUGACUUGCUUACUGUUACUUGAGGCGGCAUGAGAACUUAGCAAUAGCGACGAAAAUAGCUACAGCUUUGGGCCAAUAUUUAACAUCCUGAAAGAGUGAAAACCCCUUUAAAUCAGCCAUAG